GUGAGUCAUCGAAUCUUUGAACGCAUAUUGCGCCCUUUGGUAUUCCGAAGGGCAUGCCUGUUCGAGCGUCAUUAUACCUCUCAAGCUCUGCUUGGUGUUGGGGCCUGCCCGUCAGGGCACCCCCUAAAGACAGUGGCAGCGUCACUCGAGCCUCAAGCGUAGUACUUCUCUCGCUAUGGGGUCCUUGGGGCGAUGGCCAGAAACGAAGCUUAGGCUUCUCUAGGUUGACCUCGGAUCAGGUAGGGAUACCCGCUGAACUUAAGCAUAUCAAUAAGCGGAGGA
rnacentral:misc_RNA from 1 species